rnacentral:sRNA from 1 species
AGUAAUCCCCAAAUGACAAAGAGAGAACUACUAUGGAUGAUUAGAGCACUCUCCCAGGGCACCUGAAUCCUGUCAUCCUGGAGGCUAACCAGGAGCAGGGUCUGGUGAUAGAAGAGAAAUUCCCUGAGAAAAAGAAAAGUAGAAAGGUGUCUGGAACUGGAUUACAGUUUCUUCUGAUUGAACGCAGCCUUUGAAUGCUGCCUGGCCUAUCGUGAAUACAUCCCUGCCUUGGACAAGACGCAGCUGAAUCUGUAAGAGAUGCUACUGCCACUACCACCCCAGAGCUCCAAACCUGUGCCUAAGAAAUCUCAGUCCAGCAAAAUUGUGCCCAGUCAUCAUG